rnacentral:rRNA from 1 species
UACGUAGGGGGCUAGCGUUGUCCGGAAUCAUUGGGCGUAAAGCGCGUGUAGGCGGUUCGGUAAGUCCGCUGUGAAAGUCGGGGGCUCAACCCUCGAAAGCCGGUGGAUACUGUCGGGCUAGAGUGCGGAAGAGGCGAGUGGAAUUCCUGGUGUAGCGGUGAAAUGCGCAGAUAUCAGGAGGAACACCGGUGGUGUAGACGGCUUUCUGGACCGUAACUGACGCUGAGACACGAAAGCGUGGGUAGCAAACAGG